AUUGAACGCUGGCGGCGUGCCUAACACAUGCAAGUCGAGCGGUAACAGGUGUAGCAAUACAUGCUGACGAGCGGCGGACGGGUGAGUAACGCUUGGGAAUCUGCCUAUUAGUGGGGGACAACCCGGGGAAACUCGGGCUAAUACCGCAUACGCUCUACGGAGGAAAGCCGGGGACCGCAAGGCCUGGCGUUAAUAGAUGAGCCCAAGUCGGAUUAGCUAGUUGGUAGGGUAAUGGCCACCAAGGCGACGAUCCGUAACUGGUCUGAGAGGACGACCAGUCACACCGGAACUGAGACACGGUCCGGACUCCUACGGGAGGCAGCAGUGGGGAAUAUUGGACAAUAGGCGGAAGACCUGAUCCAGCGACGCCGCGUGGUGAAGAAGGCCUGCGGGUUGUAGAGCCCUUUCAGUGGGGAAGAAAAGCCU
rnacentral:rRNA from 1 species